rnacentral:rRNA from 1 species
AUACGGAGGAUCCGAGCGUUAUCCGGAUUUAUUGGGUUUAAAGGGAGCGUAGGUGGAUUGUUAAGUCAGUUGUGAAAGUUUGCGGCUCAACCGUAAAAUUGCAGUUGAAACUGGCAGUCUUGAGUACAGUAGAGGUGGGCGGAAUUCGGGGUGUAGCGGUGAAAUGCUUAGAUAUCACGAAGAACUCCGAUCGCGAAGGCAGCUCACCGGGCCGGAACUGACACUGAUGCUCGAAAGUGCGGGUAUCAAACAGGAUUAGAUACCCUGGUAGUCCGCACAGUAAACGAUGAAUACUCGCUGUUUGCGAUACACGGUAAGCGGCCAAGCGAAAGCGUUAAGUAUUCCACCUGGGGAGUACGCCGGCAACGGUGAAACUUAAAGGAAUUGACGGGG